rnacentral:rRNA from 1 species
CCUACGGGUGGCAGCAGUGGGGAAUAUUGGUCAAUGGGCGCAAGCCUGACCCAGCAACGCAGCGUGAAGGAAGAAGGCUUUCGGGUUGUAAACUUCUUUUCUCAGAGACGUAGAAAGUGACGGUACCUGAGGAAUAAGCCACCGCUAACUACGUGCCAGCAGCCGCGGUAAUACGUAGGUGGCAAGCGUUAUCCGGAUUUACUGGGUGUAAGGGGCGUGUAGGCGGGAAAGCAAGUCAGAUGUGAAAACCAUGGGCUCAACCUGUGGCUUGCAAUUGAAACUGGUUUCCUUGAGUACUGGUGAGGCAGACGGAAUUCCUAGUGUAGCGGUGAAAUGCUUAGAUAUUAGGAGGAACACCAGUGGCGAAGGCGGUCUGCUAGACAGCAACUGACGCUGAUGCGCGAAAGUGUGGGGAGCAAACAGGAUUAGAUACCCCGGUAGUC